UACAGAGGUCUCAAGCGUUGUUCGGAUUCAUUGGGCGUAAAGGGUGCGUAGGCGGCGCGGUAAGUCGGGUGUGAAAUCUCGGAGCUUAACUCCGAAACUGCAUCUACGAUACCUGCGUGCUUGAGGACUGGAGAGGAGACUGGAAUUUACGGUGUAGCGGUGAAAUGCGUAGAUAUCGUAAGGAAGACCAGUGGCGAAGGCGGGUCUCUGGACAGUUCCUGACGCUGAGGCACGAAGGUCAGGGGAGCAAACGGG
rnacentral:rRNA from 1 species